ensembl:lncRNA
GGAAAGGAAGCCAACAGAAGAAUCGACUUGCAUGACUUGCAAAGACAGACAGCAAAAUCCAAAAGUGUGGACGGCAGUCGACUCCUACACGCAGAGUGAAGCUGAUGCUGUCGGUGAUAAUCGAGGUGGCUGGAAUCCCGUCCAACAUUCAGGUGUCCUCACACAUCCCCUGCAAACCGGGAGCAGGUUAUGGGAAUAUGUGUUCUGGGAAAUGAGGAACGGCGCUGCGUUGGUGGUCUCGAGGGGCGAUGGCCGGCUGGCCUCGGGCUGAAUACUCACACUGCUGUGACGGUGACCCUCCUCGCCUCACGUUCAGCUCAUUUAAAUGCAAACAGUCGCAGAGCUACAUUUUAUAUCACAGGCUCAGAUCCAUCUUAAUGCUGAAGCGGUCAGGCUUUGAUGGCCUCUCUGUCACGCCGUGUUUGCGCCAGCAUCUGCAUUCCAGCGGCAGACGGACGGGUCACCGCUGGGAGCGACUGACAGAGGCGCGCGCGGUCCUCCUCCACCGUCUGUCAGCGUCACCGAUCUGUUUGAAUAUGCUGCUUGAUCCGUCACUGUCAGGCCGCUCGCGCUUCUGCAUGCGCCGUACGCUCCUCUGCUGGGAAGCUGCACGCGCUGAUUUAAUGCACACUACGCAUCAGGUUGUCAGAGAGCGUCUGGGAAGGACGGGCCGUGUCGUCUGUCCUCCUGAUGGGAAUGAUGAACCCAUGGUUCACAACACCACUAACUCGUUUCUAAAACCUUGAUGUGCACUAUCUUGCACACGAGUUUAAUGCAGAGACUAUAGGACAGCCAUUCAUAGACUGAUUCCC